GGGACAGAUAUGCAGGGACAGACUGGCAGAGACAGGGAGUCUCAGGGGCGUAACAACAGCACCACUUGUCCCUGCACUACUUGGUCCUCUUCUGUUUGAAUGGAAUAGAGGAGAUUUCACGUUGUAACUUUUUUAUGUUGCAGUGUUUAUGUACAUGUUGUUGUUGUUGUAUUUUUGUACUGUCAACCUGAAAGUACCUAGCAAUGUAUUGGUCAGAUAUUUUCACAAUUCUAUUGCAGGUAUUUUCAGCAUUGUUGCAGCAAUUGACCUACCUAAAUAACCACUUUUCCAUAAACAAGGUCUGUUUCAUGUUUGGUUGCAAGUCUGGAUACGUUUUAAACAUAACUGUUCAAACUAGAUGAAAUGUGGACAAUUUUCAGCAAUUGACCUACAGAAAUAAACACUUUUCC